UGGGGAAUAUUGCACAAUGGGCGCACGCCUGAUGCAGCCAUGCCGCGUGUGUGAAGAAGGCCUUCGGGUUGUAAAGCACUUUCAGCGGGGAGGAAGGCGAUAAGGUUAAUAACCUUGUCGAUUGACGUUACCCGCAGAAGAAGCACCGGCUAACUCCGUGCCAGCAGCCGCGGUAAUACGGAGGGUGCAAGCGUUAAUCGGAAUUACUGGGCGUAAAGCGCACGCAGGCGGUCUGUCAAGUCGGAUGUGAAAUCCCCGGGCUCAACCUGGGAACUGCAUUCGAAACUGGCAGGCUAGAGUCUUGUAGAGGGGGGUAGAAGUCCAGGUGUAGCGGUGAAAUGCGUAGAGAUCUGGAGGAAUACCGGUGGCGAAGGCGGCCCCCUGGACAAAGACUGACGCUCAGGUGCGAAAGCGUGGGGAGCAAACAGG
rnacentral:rRNA from 1 species